rnacentral:misc_RNA from 1 species
CUGCUCGCGGCUCGCCUGCAGGUGCAGCCUGCUCAGCUCGCCAGGCGCCAGCGCGGUCGCCGACUCGCCGGUCGGGCCUCAGCAGUCAGCUCGCCAGCUCGCUGCUCCGCCUGCUCGCCAGCAGUCAGCUCGCUAGCUCGCUGCUCGCCAGAAGACCGCGCGUCCGCGCGGAAGACGCGCCUGGCGGCCUGGAGCCUGGGCGGUGGCGGCCUGGAGCCUGAGCGGCUCUGGCGUGUGGCGUCCCGCCGCCCGCGUCUCGGCGUCUGGAUGUGCUCGCGGCUCGCCUGCUCGGCGUCGGCGCGGCGGCGGCUGGACACUGGAGCUAACACGGCCGAACUGCAUGAACUCUCUGCGGCGCUGACCUUCGCCAGGCCAUACGCCUCAUCUUCCAUCGCAAGGACCCGACGUGCAUCCGCCCCUGCUGCUUAUUCUGCCACGGCGCCGGUCCUCCACCUCGCUCCUUCCGCCGUCAGGCCCUGGUCGCGGGUCUCCUCCGCUCUGAAUCUUCAAGCCGGCUACCGACGCUCGCCUUUGUUUUCGUGUUGCCGGCACCCAGUCCUCCUCUCCACGUCAGAGUCCUUGCCUCACCAUCAAGACGUCGUCGUCGCGCCGUCGUACGCUAACACGGCCGAACUGCAUGAACUCUCUGCGGCGCUGACCUUCGCCAGGCCAUACGCCUCAUCUUCCAUCGCAAGGACCCGACGUGCAUCCGCCCCUGCUGCUUAUUCUGCCACGGCGCCGGUCCUCCACCUCGCUCCUUCCGCCGUCAGGCCCUGGUCGCGGGUCUCCUCCGCUCUGAAUCUUCAAGCCGGCUACCGACGCUCGCCUUUGUUUUCGUGUUGCCGGCACCCAGUCCUCCUCUCCACGUCAGAGUCCUUGUCUCACCAUCAAGACGUCGUCGUCGCGCCGUCGUACGUUAUCUAG